UUUAAUAUGGCAGAUUAGUGCAAUGAAUUUAAACUUCAAUCAUAAAGAACUACUUUUAUUAAAA
rnacentral:tRNA from 1 species